GUUUGAUCCUGGCUCAGGAUGAACGCUGGCGGCGUGCUUAACACAUGCAAGUCGAACGAAGGCACUUCUAUAUGAUUUCCUUCGGGANUGAUUAUUNNGUGACUGAGUGGCGGACGGGUGAGUAACGCGUGGGUAACCUGCCUUGUACAGGGGGAUAACAGUUGGAAACGGCUGCUAAUACCGCAUAANNNCACGGCAUCGCAUGAUGCAGUGUG
rnacentral:rRNA from 1 species